rnacentral:misc_RNA from 1 species
CAGCAGUUUGGGAGCUUGAUAAAGGUGUGCUACAUUCCCUGUAGUGUGAAUUAACUGCUGAGGACACGCAUCAACUGAAAAUGACACUUGUAUAGGAUUUCAACAUCAAAUAGUUGAUUUAUGUUACUGGAGGCAAUCUGAUAUAGCUAAGGAUCAUGGACCUUGUAGAUGAUGUAGUCGCAUACAUAGAGUUAGCAUGAUGUUCAAUUAUAUUGCCUAUGUUAUCUAAAAUGAUAUUGAUUUGGGAAUUUUGGAAGAAAUAUAUUUCAAGGAUACAUCUUAGGCAUCUUAGUCAAAUUUAUAGGGAAUGUAUAUGAAUGUUUGGGAUGAUUUUCUCUGAGAAGCUUCUUCACUGCCAUGCAAUUUCCUUAUUUUGCUUGUUCCUGCACUCCUUCUUUUAGAAAACUCAAGUCACAGGGUGGAGGUUCGAUUUUAGCAAUAAAAUAGAAAGUUUGAAUACUAAUUAUCUGUUCUGUUAUUUUCUGCAAUGGCCUUUUUUGAGAAGAUGAUCUUACAUAAAUCAUAUAUUGUUGGCUUUGUCUCUUAAAAAUGAUUGACUGCACAUGAUAUGCAGCAGCAAGGAUUUGAUUACUUACAAAUUAAAUUGAAGUUAUCUUCAUGUAGCAAAUCACAGGAACAUUGUUA